CAAAACUUUCAACAACGGAUCUCUUGGUUCUGGCAUCGAUGAAGAACGCAGCGAAAUGCGAUAAGUAAUGUGAAUUGCAGAAUUCAGUGAAUCAUCGAAUCUUUGAACGCACAUUGCGCCCGUCAGUAUUCUGGCGGGCAUGCCUGUUCGAGCGUCAUU
rnacentral:rRNA from 1 species